rnacentral:rRNA from 1 species
AACGAACGCUGGCGGCAUGCCUAACACAUGCAAGUCGAACGAAGUCUUCGGACUUAGUGGCGCACGGGUGCGUAACGCGUGGGAAUCUGCCCUUGGGUGCGGAAUAACUUCUCGAAAGGGAUGCUAAUACCGCAUAAUGUCGUAAGACCAAAGAUUUAUCGCCCAAGGAUGAGCCCGCGUAAGAUUAGCUAGUUGGUGGGGUAAAAGCCUACCAAGGCGACGAUCUUUAGCUGGUCUGAGAGGAUGAUCAGCCACACUGGGACUGAGACACGGCCCAGACUCCUACGGGAGGCAACAGUGGGGAAUAUUGGACAAUGGGCGAAAGCCUGAUCCAGCAAUGCCGCGUGAGUGAUGAAGGCCCUAGGGUUGUAAAGCUCUUUUACCAGGGAUGAUAAUGACAGUACCUGGAGAAUAAGCUCCGGCUAACUCCGUGCCAGCAGCCGCGGUAAU